rnacentral:rRNA from 1 species
GAUGAACGCUGGCGGCGUGCCUAAUACAUGCAAGUCGAGCGGACGGACGAGAAGCUUGCUUCUCUGAUGUUAGCGGCGGACGUGUGAGUAACACGUGUAUAACCUACCUAUAAGUCGGGUAUAACUUCGGAAAACCGGAUCUAAUACCAGAUAAUAUUUUGAACCGCAUGGUGCAAAAGUUAAAGACGGUCUUGCGGUCACUUAUAGAUGCAUCCGCGCUGCAUUAGCUAGUUGGUAAGUUAACGGCUUACCAAGGCAACGAUGCAUAUCCGAACUGAGAGGGUGAUCGGCCACACUGGAACUGAGACACGGUCCAGACUACUACGGGAGGCAGCAGUAGGGAAUGUUCCGCAAUGGGCGAAAGCAUGACGGAGCAACGCCGAGUGAGUGAUGAAGGUCUUCGGAGCGUAAAACUCUGUUAUUAGGUAAGAACAUAUGUGUCCGUAGAUGUGGAGAUCUUGACGGUACUGAAUCAGAAAGCACCGGCUAACUACGUG